rnacentral:rRNA from 1 species
AGCCUACGGGGCGCAGCAGUGGGGGAUAUUGGACAAUGGGGGAAACCCUGAUCCAGCGAUGCCGCGUGAGGGAAGAAGGUUUUCGGAUUGUAAACCUCUGUGGAGGGGGACGAUAAUGACGGUACCCCUUUAGGAAGCCACGGCUAACUACGUGCCAGCAGCCGCGGUAAUACGUAGGUGGCGAGCGUUGUCCGGAAUUACUGGGUGUAAAGGGAGUGUAGGCGGGAAAGCAAGUCAGAAGUGAAAACUAUGGGCUUAACCCAUAGACUGCUUUUGAAACUGUUGAACUUGAGUGCAGAAGAGGA